AGGGUGUAAACGCUGCAGACUUGGUGUUGGAAGUCCUUUGGGGGGCAUUCAGUGCCGGAGAGAAGUUGUUAAGUCUGCUACUUGGGGAGUACGUCCGCAAGGAUGAAACUUAAAGGAAUUGGCGGGGGAGCACCGCAACGGGAGGAGCGUGCGGUUUAAUUGGAUUCAACACCGUAAAACUCACCAGGGAAGACUGUUACAUGAAAGCCGAGAUGAAGACUCUGCUAGAUUUUCAGAGAGGAGGUGCAUGGCGUCAGUGACU
rnacentral:rRNA from 1 species